rnacentral:lncRNA from 1 species
GUCAAAGCCUGAGCUGUAGGGGAAGGAACCUACUCUCCAUGUAGGUCUCUCUGGAGCAACCUGAAGACAGGAACUUGGCCUCAAGGAGACAAGUGGGUGAAGAAGAAGGUGGGAUAGAUCGAGAUACAAUAAAGACUAAAAAGGAAACAGAAAUUGAUGGAAAUAGUCAUAGGGAACAGCCAAAUAAAAAAGAAGAUUAAAACAUGCCAAGAGCAUCUCAGAAAAGAGGGAGUACAUAGUCUCAAUAGUCGAGAAACAAGUUGAUAAUCUGUAUUAUCAAAUAAAAAAAAACAACAACAACCCCAGAAUUAAGAGAGACUUAAUUUGACAGGAUUAUUGUAACAAAGGGAAUAAUGCAAUAGGGAGAACAAUCCAAACAUAAGAGCUACAAACAUCUCAAAGGCCUAGUAGAAAGGUAUUUUAUUUUAUGGGGAAGGGUCAACAAGGCUAGAAAGUUCUGCUAUGAAUAUAGUGGAAUAAUGAAGGAAUGUUUCCCUGAGGUCAGCAUAUUUUUGUGAGGGUUCAUUUACCCAUUAAUUCUGUAUAGGACAUAGGAGGAUGCGGUGUAUUGAGAAAAGGGGAGGCUAAGUCAACCUUCAUAAGAUCAGAGGAAGAGAAGCUUACCUAAUGUGAGGUCUAGUUAACAUGUGCUUAUUUUCUACCUAUAUGUGGAUAAAUUUC